CAAUCUCAAUCAAAUGCAAGACGUCAAAACUUUAAAGUUUUAUGUGCUUGCAUCAAAGAACCUGAGUCAUCUCCACAAACUCAGAUCAAUACUGUAGAACAUAAAUUAUCAUUGUGUACAUGUGCGAAUAGAACACAAAAAGAACCUUCCACGUGUUCUGAAAACAAACAAAACUACGCAAGAAAAUAUAAUCCUACAUCGAUAUGUGAUGGAACCCAAACAUCUGAUUAUCCCAUAAACUUUGUUACCGCUCUUCAGAAUCCACUGUUUGUGAAAAUAAUAUGCCCAGGAAAAUAAAAAAUACACGUAGA